CGCGCAAAACCUUACCAGGCCUUGACAUCCAGAGAACUUACCAGAGAUGGUUUGGUGCCUUCGGGAACUCUGUGACAGGUGCUGCAUGGCUGUCG
rnacentral:rRNA from 1 species